CGAACGGCCCUUUUCAGGGCCACAAAUGUGUACGAAACGAAACGAA
rfam:Haemonchus contortus, ISE/inbred ISE, WGS project CAVP01000000 data, contig: Hcontortus_41608